rnacentral:rRNA from 1 species
GACGAACGUUGGCGGCGUGCUUAACACAUGCAAGUCGAACGAAGCUUGAUUACGGAUUCUUCGGAUGAAGUAUGAUAUGACUGAGUGGCGGACGGGUGAGUAACGCGUGAGUAACCUGCCCUUCAGAGGGGGAUAGCGUUUGGAAACGAACGGUAAUACCGCAUAAUGUAUUUUGACCGCAUGAUCGAAAUACCAAAGAUUUAUCGCUGAAGGAUGGACUCGCGUCUGAUUAGGUAGUUGGUGGGGUAACGGCCUACCAAGCCGACGAUCAGUAGCCGGACUGAGAGGUUGAUCGGCCACAUUGGGACUGAGACACGGCCCAGACUCCUACGGGAGGCAGCAGUGGGGAAUAUUGCACAAUGGGCGCAAGCCUGAUGCAGCAACGCCGCGUGAAGGAAGACGGUUUUCGGAUUGUAAACUUCUGUUCUUAGUGAAGAAUAAUGACGGUAGCUAAGGAGCAAGCCACGGCUAACUACGUG